GAGUGAGAGCAAUGGAGACAUGGUGAAAGAGAAAUCCAUAAGGGCUUGUUCACAUUUUUAAGGCUCUGAAUUUUUUCUCUCUUUUGCUCCAAGCUUCCUCUUCCGUUAAGGCGGGUGAAUUAUGAAUGCCAGCUUAUCUUUCUUUUUAACUUCUCUUUUCCCUCCUCUGAUCUUUUUCCAUUCUGCAAAAUACAAGACAAGAGUAGAUUGGGUUCAAAAGUGUUAUACAGUGCCCCCUUGUGAUGCACAAAACUGCACAUUCAGUUGUACAUUAUUUAGUUUUUUUUGGAGAUCACGUUGUCACAGUGGCGGAAGCAAUUGAAUGAAAUGAACUGAAACAAGUCAUCUGCAUAUAACUUUGUUAAAUAGCAUUUUACUCAGCUGUUAGCUGACUGAUGUUUUGAUCUAUGACAGUAAAAUAGUCUGAUAGCUGUUUUUAUUAACUUUACUUUAAACAACACUAACAAAACCCCAUAGAAUUAUGUCUAGAACUGCAUUCUCACCCGCCACACUGGGUUGUGGAUACUCUAGAUUUGUUGCUACGACAAUAAUAUGGUGAACUUUUUAAGAGGGCUGACGGGACUAUUUUUUUUUACACUAUGGUCCCCAUCUUUAAGUCCUCAGUCAGAGUUUUCUACUAUAGUAGGUCUCUAUCUGGUAUAGCCAGAUGACACUUGGGCAUCUCUUGGCCUUCUUCAGUCUCUGCGAUCCUCAACACCUGCAUCCUGGAUCAUACCCGGAGAAACACACCGCAUAGCCAUAAUGCCAUAGCUGACAUUCCCUCACAAGGGAAGUAGUAACUGCCUGUUUGAAACAGUCAUUCCAGUGGUAUCCAAUAUCCUUCAAAUAGAUCUAGGACCAAGGGCAUCCAUCCAGUUAUCAGCUUAGGUCACACAUAUUGGAAUCCAGGCCUCGCAGAUGUAGAGUAAGACAGGAAGCACUUGAACCCAAAAGACCUUGACCUUUGUGCUGUAACAUUUAUGUCUCUGGAUCCUCGGUCUGAAAAGACCUUUCUUGGCGUCCAUCUUCCAAAUGCUUCUAUCACAUACCGAGGAUAUUGUGAACUAAAAACAAAGGAGCCCAUUAGUUAUCUGGGUGUCGCCAAGGCUCACUUCCAGGACGUCACUCCUUCAUAUUGAGGCUCAAAUCUUUUCACCUGAACUCCCAUAUGGGAUGCCCAGUGUGGGUGUUUCAUAAGAGGCCAGAUAUGGAAGAAUGGCGUGAGGUCGAAAAACACUUCAUUGGGAAUGUUGCCCCAUGACACUUUGUGUAUAGAUGUGAAGGACGGGUUUGUUGGCCUUUGUAACCAAGCCGUCAGAUGGCUUGAGUGUUCGAACACUCUACAUGCUGGCCUAUUUCGAUAUUUUUUAAAUUAAUUUAAUCAGUAUGUUUGAACAGACAACUUGCGAUACUGUGAAACUUGAGUAUUUGUUUUAAGCUGUGCUUUUGGCUGCUAUGUGUAAUUUAUUUUAUUUUAAGAGAGAUUUAUGUGUUUCAACCUGUAGUGCAGGAAUAAUGAAAGGAACCCUAAUCUAGAUUGAUUUUUACCUCUCAGAUUUCAUCAUGUUAAAUGGGUACGUGAUUGAUAAUGUCCAGUUUUCAACACAGAGUGAAUCUGUACUGUUAUUUUAAUAUUUAUUUUCCCAGUGAAAACACAUUUUCAACUGUUUUCACAUUAUUUAGACUCUCAGAAACAACCACAACCUUAGCAUACACUGUUUCAUUCAUUUAUUCAUUCAUUUUCUAUACCCACUCAUUCUAAUUAAACAAAAAAGUACGUAUAAUAUUUUAGUUCUCAGUCCAAUGCCAUUAUGAAGAUGUGUCCUAUUAAAAGGCAUGCAAUUAUGGCAUAAUUUGAUCACAUUUGGGGGGUUUCUCUAAUGCCACCUAUGGUAACCCGUGAAGGUCUGACAUGUAAAUAUCAUAUACAUAUUUGCCUCCAGUAUGAAGCAAAUGUUUUUGGCCGUGUUGAACCAAUUUUCUUGAAACGUAGUACAGAUGUGGUGCAUUGGCCAAGGAAGAACCACUUAAAUUUUGUUCCCAAUCCAAAUAAAACGGCAGAUACAGUAACUGUUUGUGUUUUUUGAGUAGGACAUCUAAAAAUGAAAACAUAAAAUAAUAUAGUGGUGAGGAAGCAUUGAUUAGAUUUUCAGGUGGCUCUAGGUACUAAAAAAAAGUAGGUAUUAAAAAAAAGUUUCAAUGUUUACACAAAUUCAAUGUUUGCUGUAAUAGCGCCCUCACCAGCACUUCUAGCACAAUUACAGGCAGGACUGUUGGGGCCUUGUUUUUAGUUUGUUAUGGAACUUCGUCAUUACAUAUACAUGUCAAGGUUUAGCAGCUGUCUCAGGUUGGUCUUCUGUUUGUCUGCAACGAUAAAUUUAAAUUUGUAACUCCAAAAAUGUGACUAAGGAAGGAAGGUAAUUAUUUUUUAAAGAGAAGUCAGUGUUUUCCUUUAAUAUCUGCAGGAAUUUCAACUGAAAUAUCUAUGGUUUAUGAUGCUUAUGGUUCACAUGGUACGCAUGAUUAUCACCGUAUUUAAACAUGCUGAAAUUUCUGAAUGGAAAUGCAUAAUGUUUUUGUUCCAUCAGUCGGACUUUGUUGAGCAGAGGGCUGACAACCCGCUGAAUGACGCAGUCUGUGAAGUGACACUGGAACAACAGGCGUACGUCAACAGAUAAAUUUUUUUUGUUUUAUGUGAACAUAAUUGGGAAAAUAAAUGAUGAUGACAAAUUGUUUAUAAUAGAUACUGUGUUUAUCACUUGUACAAACAGCAAAACUGAGCCUAAGUGAGGCUAAUCGUUCUGUUGAAGGUCCGUCUACAGGUGCGGAAUAAUUGUGAUAAAUUCUGACUUGUUUUAUUUGGCAGUUUUAAACUUGUAACAUAAUUUUAUCAUUUUAAAUGAUCAGAUCUCUGAGAUCGGCCCUUUUCUGUGCCUGUUGCUUUAAAUGGAAAGGUGCUGCUGGCUGACACACCCCCUUUCUCAUUGG